rnacentral:rRNA from 1 species
GACAUUUGAUAGAGACUGUUGAAGCCACCUGGUCCCAGCAGACCCUGGAAAGCAGCCACAUUCGCUGGUGCUGGGGCAAGGUCGCUGAGGGUAAAACUUGGUGCCAGAUGUUU